rnacentral:rRNA from 1 species
CUUGGUGAUUAUAGCGUAAGUGAAACACCCGAUCCCAUACCGAACUCGAACGUGAAACCUUACAGCGCUAAUGGUACUAUGUCGUUCAGACAUGGGAGAGUAAGUCGUUGCCAAGC